GACGAACGCUGGCGGCGUGCUUAACACAUGCAAGUCGAACGGUGACGGAGGAGCUUGCUCCUCCUGAUCAGUGGCGAACGGGUGAGUAACACGUGAGCAAUCUGCCCCUGACUCUGGGAUAACUUCGGGAAACUGUAGCUAAUACCGGAUACGACGCGCGAAUGCAUCUUCUGCGCGUGGAAAGAAUUUCGAUCAGGGAUGAGCUCGCGGCCUAUCAGCUUGUUGGUGAGGUAAUGGCUCACCAAGGCGACGACGGGUAGCCGGCCUGAGAGGGUGACCGGCCACACUGGGACUGAGACACGGCCCAGACUCCUACGGGAGGCAGCAGUGGGGAAUAUUGCACAAUGGGCGGAAGCCUGAUGCAGCAACGCCGCGUGAGGGACGACGGCCUUCGGGUUGUAAACCUCUUUUGGCAGGGAAGAAGCGAAAGUGACGGUACCUGCAGAAAAAGCACCGGCUAACUACGUG
rnacentral:rRNA from 1 species